CAGAUAAGGAGCUGUGUUUGUUAAACAAAUGUUUGCUGGUGUUGGUUUUAACUUAUUAAUCACCCUGACCCAGUUCCCAGGUAAUCCAUAGGCUGUGUGUGUCUUUCCUUAUGAUGCUCUGCUUGCAGGGCAAGACCCAUGCAGAGGUCCUGGUCUUCAUCUUACGCCUUUCAGGAGCCUUCUGCCUGGGAACAGUGAAUUUCUCUAUCACCCAGUGGAGUCCAAACUUGAGCACAGCCAAUACUGCUGGGAAAGCUACCUCUGCUGCCUGCACUUCAUCCAGGAGCAUAGCAUGGCUUCUCCAUCACCCACUCCAUGCAGUUGCAGCCAAACAGCUCCUGCAUGGGCAGCAGCAAAGCAGAGGUGCCAGGGCAAAGAGCAGGAGUGCAGCAUGGAUUUGGCAGGCAGAUUUGAAAUUCUAUUACCAUUUCAGAAGGCAGGCGUUUGAAGAG